GAAAGUGGCGCACGGGUGCGUAACGCGUAUGCAACCUACCUUAUCAGGGGGAUAGCCCGAAGAAAUUCGGAUUAACACCGAAGAAAAACACAGGAUAGCAUUAUCUAAUGAUCAAAUAUUUAUAGGAUUGAGAUGGGCAUGCGUGUCAUUAGUUAGUUGGCGAGGUAACGGCUCACCAAGACCACGAUGACUAGGGGAUCUGAGAGGAUGACCCCCCACACUGGUACUGAGACACGGACCAGACUCCUACGGGAGGCAGCAGUAAGGAAUAUUGGUCAAUGGAGGCAACUCUGAACCAGCCAUGCCGCGUGCAGGAAGACAGCCCUCUGGGUCGUAAACUGCUUUUAUUCGGGAAUAAACCUACUUACGUGUAAGUAGCUGAAUGUACCGAAGGAAUAAGGAUCGGCUAACUCCGUGCCAGCAGCCGCGGUAAUACGGAGGAUCCAAGCGUUAUCCGGAUUUAUUGGGUUUAAAGGGUGCGUAGGCGGCUUGUUAAGUCAGGGGUGAAAGACGGUGGCUCAACCAUCGCAGUGCCCUUGAUACUGAUGAGCUUGAAUACACUAGAGGUAGGCGGAAUGUGACAAGUAGCGGUGAAAUGCAUAGAUAUGUCACAGAACACCGAUUGCGAAGGCAGCUUACUAUGGUGUCAUUGACGCUGAGGCACGAAAGCGUGGGGAUCAAACAGGAUUAGAUACCCUGGUAGUCCACGCCCUAAACGAUGAAUACUCGCUGUUAGCGAUACACAGUUAGCGGCUAAGCGAAAGCGUUAAGUAUUCCACCUGGGGAGUACGGUCGCAAGAUUGAAACUCAAAGGAAUUGACGGGGGCCCGCACAAGCGGAGGAGCAUGUGGUUUAAUUCGAUGAUACGCGAGGAACCUUACCCGGGCUUGAAAGUUAGUGAAUCAUUUAGAGAUAGAUGAGUGAGCAAUCACACGAAACUAGGUGCUGCAUGGCUGUCGUCAGCUCGUGCCGUGAGGUGU
rnacentral:rRNA from 1 species